rnacentral:lncRNA from 1 species
UCAUGACUAGGUACCUUCAUACUCAAUGCUGAAAACCAACACAAUCAAUGUACGUUAAUCAUGUCGUAACGAUGGCAAUAGACUGCAUGGUCGAUUCAAAUUCCAAAUCUUUUAAGAAUGUGGCUUCUGUAAAUUGUGACAACCAAAUCAAUUUUCCAUCAACAGUUGUUGAGUUGAAUAUGACUUGUUCUUCAUCAACAGUGCUGUCGCAUGUCACUAUACCAGCAGAUAACAGAUUUUUGCAAGGAAGCUCUGGUUAGUGCAGAACUGGCGACUCAUGACCGGUCAGAUUAGCGGUUAGACGGAACACUACAGAUCAUGCAAGAUAGGGAUGGGGUUGGGUUGGCUAAUGUAUAUCGGUUACAUUGUUGUUGUCAGAUUUUUGGUUAUUGAUGGG